ensembl:lncRNA
GUGUGACACAUCAGGCUAACACGCAGAAUGGGAAAAACAGACCAUCCAUUCAAUAUCAAUCACAGUUGUGCCAGAUCCAGGGAGCUCCUCUUCUCCACUUCUACUCACCCUGCUGUCCCAGCUAGGAAGAAACCCAUGUAUCAACAAACAGCUGGAACAAGCCCUUGCAGCGCUCUCCAUUCUCUCCGCUCGUCUCCACACCAUUCUUCCAUGUAUUGGCAGUGACAGCUCACCCCCAGUCAGAGCUAAGCAAGGCUGUUGCUGUGCUGUGGUCUGGGCCCUGGGUGUGGGGAGAGUUUUUCCACUGGCACCACACUCGCUCCAUGCUGCUCCUCAGCUAUCAGAGACGUGCGUGACACCAGCCCUGCUAAUGCUUCCCAGAUGCAGGGAGGGAGAGAGGGAG